rnacentral:rRNA from 1 species
UACGUAGGGGGCAAGCGUUAUCCAGAUUUACUGGGCGUAAAGCGCGUGUAGGCGGCUGGUUAGGUGUGAUGUGAAAUCUUCCGGCUCAACCGGAAAACUGCAUUGCAAACCGGCCUGGCUAGAGUGCAGGAGAGGGAGGCGGAAUUCCAGGUGUAGCGGUGAAAUGCGCAGAUAUCGGGAAGAACACCCGUGGCGAAGGCGGUUCUCUGGGACGGUACUGACGCUGAGACGCGAAAGCGUGGGGAGCGAACAGG